CGAAAGCUUGCUUUUGAUGGGCGUCGACCGGCGCACGGGUGAGUAACGCGUAUCCAACCUGCCCACCACUUGGGGAUAACCUUGCGAAAGUAAGACUAAUACCCAAUGAUAUCUCUAGAAGACAUCUGAAAGAGAUUAAAGAUUUACCGGUGAUGGAUGGGGAUGCGUCUGAUUAGCUUGUUGGCGGGGUAACGGCCCACCAAGGCAACGAUCAGUAGGGGUUCUGAGAGGAAGGUCCCCCACAUUGGAACUGAGACACGGUCCAAACUCCUACGGGAGGCAGCAGUGAGGAAUAUUGGUCAAUGGACGAGGGUCUGAACCAGCCAAGUAGCGUGCAGGAUGACGGCCCUAUGGGUUGUAA
rnacentral:rRNA from 1 species